CAGGAAGCCCUUGCCUCAUAGUUCUGGAGUUCAGCAUAUGGAUUUUGGGGGAAAACAAUUCAAUCCAUAACUGAUUCAGUCCGUAGUAAGGUUUUCUGACAGCAAGUAUACAUGAACUAGUUGAGCUCUGUAGUCCACCUUUAACACCUGAAAAUGAUCCCACUAAAAUUCCUGGCAUGCGGCAUCCAGACGUCAGCAUUUCUGGGCCCCGAGGCUUUGGGAGCACGCAGGCUGUGGGAAAAGCAGGAGGGAAGCCUGGGGCUGCUAGGCUAAUGCCCAGGAGUGGCUGGACCAAGCUGAGUGGCAGCCUGCCCUAUCCUGAGAGAGCCAGUGCAGGAGACUCAACCGAGCAAUAAACAUGCCCAGCUCCAAAAGGCAGGCCUCUGUGCACAGAUGUUGUGAUGUUAUGAGA
rnacentral:lncRNA from 1 species